GAUGAACGCUAGCUACAGGCUUAACACAUGCAAGUCGCGGGGUAACAUCUGGUAGAGCUUGCUCUUCCAGGAUGACGACCGGCGCACGGGUGAGUAACGCGUAUCCAACCUGGCCCAUACCACGGGAUAGCCCGUCGAAAGGCGGAUUAAUACCGUAUGCUGUCAUUAAGAUGCAUAUAUUGAUGACGAAAGGACUGGCGGUAUGGGAUGGGGAUGCGUCUGAUUAGCUUGUUGGCGGGGUAACGGCCCACCAAGGCGACGAUCAGUAGGGGUUCUGAGAGGAAGGUCCCCCACAUUGGAACUGAGACACGGUCCAAACUCCUACGGGAGGCAGCAGUGAGGAAUAUUGGUCAAUGGGCGCAAGCCUGAACCAGCCAAGUAGCGUGAGGGAAGACUGCCCUACGGGUUGUAAACCUCUUUUGUUGGGAAUAAAGUGCGGGACGCGU
rnacentral:rRNA from 1 species